CUCCAGAAGGGAAGCCUUCGCCACCGAUGUCAAUCCACAGGAGAGGGAUCCUCUGGGAGCCCACAGUUUGCAGAGCUAAUGAGCAGAGAGCUGGUGGCACAGAGGCAGCUUGGAUGGAGAGGUGGAAGGAUGGAGGGAGGGCAGUGUUGUGGAAGCCUGGCUUCAGGGUGUUUCCAUGCUAGGAUUGCCCAGGAAUCUGAUGCUGGUGCCAGACGCGGGGAAACCCUCAUCAAAGCAAGGGAGCACACCCAUCAGCGGGCCGUCCAGUGAUGCACAUGGCCUUAAAGUCGGCUGGAUUCAGGGCGCAGACGCUGUAAACACAAAACUGUAACACAACAAACUGCCCGCUUGUCAAGGUCAAAAGACUAGUUCAGACGCAGGGCGGCUGUGGCUCAGCGGUUAAGUCGGUCCUCUCUCAAAUGGUAGGUCGGGGGUUCGAUACCAAGCUUCUGCAGCCACAUGGCGAAGUGGCAAGAAGACACACUGAAGCCCUGCUGCUUAUGAAUGGGAUAAGUUAGGAUUGAUGGACACUUUCCUGAGCAGCCUCUUCCCUCAGCGUGUGAAUGUGGGUGCGAUUGGUGGCAUGGAUACACACACUUUUCUGUGUGUGUGUGUGUGUGUGUGUGUGUGUCAUGCCUCAGUAUGACAUGUAGUGUAAAAAGUGCUUUAAGUAGUCAGAAGACUAGAGGAGCAUUUUACAAGCUCAAGUCCAUUCACCACAUUAAAAAGGCAGAUUGUAUUAAAAGAUAAAACUAUAUCAUUUGAACUUUUAUUCUUGACCUUGGAAAGAGGCCCUUUGACAAAAUGUGACCUUGAGAAAAAAUAACACUUGUUUAAGCUUUCUCAUGUUUUUCUUUGCAUCUCAUGGUCUUGUUCAGCAGAGUUCAAAUAACAUUAAAAAGUAAAAAAUUCUAAUAUUUCAAAUGAACUAACUCCUAACCCUGACUCCUUCUGUUUUGAUGUAAUAAUGCAAAACUGUGACUCUUUGACCUUUCCUGUUUUGUUUUUUAGCAUGCAUUCCUGUACUAUUUUAUGUUUCUCAUGUGUAAGUCUGUGCUUUUUUUCCCUUCUUUUUUUGUGCUGUAUAACACGUAAAAAUUCAAUAAAAACUGAGUUAAAA